ensembl:lncRNA
AAUAAAUCCACAUAAAAAUGAACACAGAUGUUAGGACUGACAUGUUGAAGUCGCUCCCCUUUAACGCAGGACCGUACAUGUAUAAUGUACGUGUAUUUCUGGUUCCCGUGUUGAAUUGUAUCGGUGGAGGCAGGCUUCGAGGAAGAAAAAAAAAAAGGAAAAAAAAUCUCAUUAUUAGUGCCAGGAAGAAAUCCUCUUUGCUCUGGGCUGCGUGUUGUGGGUGUUGGAGCAGUGGGGAGGUGGGGGUUGAAUAGAGCGUAGAGCUCUGUGUGUGUGUGUGUGUGUGUGUGUGUGUGGAAGGAGAAGAGAAUGGAAAUGCAGAGAGAGGACUGCGAGAGAGAUACUGGAGUCAGUCAACCUGAUCGCCAACAAAUUUAGUAGGAAAGAAAUCGGAAGCAAAGCGACGGCCGAGCUAUAACUCCACCCCGAGGAUGAAUGGUGCGGAAAACAAAAAAAAACAUCCGGGACUACAGGCGAAAAACACUAUGUCGGAUGAGAACGAAAGAUGGGUUCAAGCUGGCAGGGAGGCUGUAGCGACUCUUUACAAGCGUGGUGAGCAGAAAAGCAGGUCACAACGCACAAUACGUCGAACCUUAACGCGGUAGAGGACUCGGGAAAUCGGACAGGACAGUGGGAAUGGCUUUAAUUCGAUGCUACACAAGAACCUACUUCCAUCAACUUGAUAUUUUAUUCAUUUUUUUUCCAUUCCUAAUUUCCACUUUAUGUCAGUUUGCUUGAUCGCAUUGCCUCCUUUCCCGGCCAUGUUUGCUUCCACACUUCACUAGCAAACAUUGGUGCCUGAGCUCCAAGGAGGCAGCGGACACGGAAAGGAAAAAAAAAAAGUGACCUACGCAUCCGCGUUCUCCUCAUUACCAUACGGGCAUCUGUGCGUUACGACCCUUCGUUUAUUUUAAUCCGCUCGCUUUUCCGUUUGCAUAUCAGGAGAUGCCCUUUCGCUUGAUUUAUACCACCACUAGCCAUAUAGCUGGCCCACUCGCUCAGAAAGAGGGGUGAUUAUUUAAUUAAACUGGAGCUGGGUAGGCCACUCAGGAUGCUCGUGGAAGGAAAGGGGUCCGAGUCGUGUGUGUAAACCGUCGAGAUUAAACAGCUUUUUUGAUUUUUUUGUAAAAAAAAAUAUAUGCAAUAUACUGUAGCAUGAUGUGAUAUUAAAUCGGAUGUCUUUGUCUCCGGCGUCUUGGGCGUUUUGGAUUUACAGCUGUGACCCCGUGAUGAAAACGAUGUCAUUUUCCGCUUACCCUUAAAAAUACAACAACCCAAUAAUCAGCUAAUUCUGACACGGUCGUGGAAGUCAGGCCCGGAUACUUGACCUUGCUAAUGUAAAUAAAAGAGAAACGCUUCGUAUUGGUUCUUUGGGAAUUGGACUACGCGGCGAGUUUGUGUGAGGGCUCGACUUGCCGCAGUCGCAGUGGCAUUUCUCUUUCUCGUUCCCCUCUUCUUCUUUUUUUAUCCUCUCCGAGGCUUUUUCGCUUUCGCACCAGCCAAGCUCGGGAUGGCCAUUAAUCACCGGCUAAAAUGAUAGAUGUUCCUCACGGAAUGAGUAGAUGCACCAUGCAUACAGAAAUAACCUGCUGUGCUGGCUCAAGAAGCACACACAAACACUUUGUCUCUCUCUCACACACACACACACAUGCUACACUCUAUAGCCCUUGUUCCCUUUCUCACUUCUAUCCCUAUCAUUUUCUUUCCCCCUGUACAUACUGCUCUUAUAUGAUUACACGUUGUAUACUCGUAUCGAUUAGUCAAAAAGCAUGUCCCCGUAACAAACUUGGGUCGCGACAAUUUUACCUUCGACGUCCCAGGAGCACCUGCAAAUUAGCAUAGAAAACGAGCCUCAACGUUCCAGAUGGAUCUCCAUCUGAGUGCUGAAUAAUCAGAUCUCUUCCAGGUGCCAUUUUGUCGCCAUUUUCCGAAUUGCAGAUCUUCGGCUAUGCCAUACAACCUCUACAGCCACCGGUUUUUUCCCUCUGGUUCUUUUUAAUUGAAUGUGGUCCCAGGCACCUAGGACGGAAAAAAGACACCCUUUUUUUUUCUUUUUCUAGAGCAAGCGUUGUUGCAUCCAAUUACAGAUGGGGAGAGGAGGGGGGCUAGCUAAAGCCCAGGAAGAGUUUAUGACCCUUUCCACACAUCUGGGAUGAAAAGCAGGCUGUUUUUUUUUUUUUUUUCAAGCUCGAGGAGAGGCACAGGCAUGUCUGCGAGAAAAGAAGUGGAGAAAACAGCUUCUUUUUUUUCCUGAAGGCUUGCUGGGCUGUCUUGACGGCGACGAAGCAAGUUAACGACAUGCAAAUGAAAUGCGAGCACGCCGUAUCUUCACUCCACGGCCUAAUGAGAAAUUCCCGGAUUUUUCCAGCACACAAAUGGAGGAAACCCCUCCCCACCACCACCACCACCACCACCAUUAACUACAAAAUGUCUGGAUGUCUGUAGAUGGCUGAUGUCUUAACAAGGUGUUCAGACACAACAAGCCACUGUCCUUCCAAAAUGGUUGAUGUUUUGAUGAUGGUCAUGGAGAGCACUGGAUUACAGAUCAGUCCACAAUCUUCCACAUGUAUUCAGCUGGGUUGAGAUUUGGUAUGGGCAGAGUCAUCCUACAGGAGACCACACCCAUCAAGAGAGAAAUGGUUCACCAUAGGAUAAAGGUGUUGAUUUACAGUGGCACUUCCCUUUAAGAGGACAAGCGGACCCAAACCAUGCCAGCCAAAUACAUUAACAUUUAAAUAAAUUUCCUAUUAGUGAGUUGAAGAGUUAAGGAAUGAGACACUGCUUAAUAUUAUUGGCAUAGAAAAGAUGUUUAAUGUUGUCCGGUCCACAUUUUUAUUCUGUCCUAGCAAACACACCUGGGUCAGGUUAUCAAGGCGUGUUAGGAGGUGGAACAGAAUGAAAAUGUGAACUGGUAAUUUAUCUGACUGCAUUAGGAUCCCAUGUCCCAUGUAAGUAAGCAUACCCAGCUGAGGUAAGACAUGUUAUCUAUCUAUCUAUCUAUCUAUCUAUAUCUAUCUAUAUAUAUAUAUAUAAAAUUACACAUCUAAUAUAUCUUAAGGCUAGGACUGUGAUAUAUAAGACUCAGGUUUCAUUCAUUAAAUGCAAACUUUACUGCCAUUUUCCGACUUCCUGUUUUGUUUUGGGGUUUUUUCAGGUAUUUACAAUCCACAUGGCACCGCCUCUGCAAUCGCUUUUGUUUAAAGUUGCUGACUUAAUUUAUGGAGGGUAAACAGUGACAAAGUGGAGUUCCUGCAAGGUUCAGCUGAAAGAAAACGACAAGGGAUGACAGCAAUCUUCUGGCCUAAAUCUUCAUCUAAACCGCAGUGAUUGACCAGCGUCCCCAUGCCAACGAGCAUCGCAUUAUAGCUGUAAUCCAUUUUUGCAGAUGUAGAGUGGACAUCUGCAGCUGAUGCACUGCGAGACAGACAGAGGUACAGCGUAAUGUCUAAGGAUAUCUGGAUUUCACUGCUCACUUCACAGCGAGACUAAACAAACGUUUACUUCUGGUUUGCUUUGAAAGUGACACACAGUCUAUGCUGACAUUGUUCAGUAGUUUAGGGUCGUUUGAUAGUAAGUCCAAUUUAUCUAGACCUUAAAACCGUAGACUAUGCUUGAGCUUUUGCCCACCAUUCUCUGUAUUAUCAGGCUUCUACUUAUAAUAAAUACAACAGGCAACCAUUUACUGGUCAUGGUCUCUGCAUGGAAGGGAUAGCAGUACUCCCCCUCCUGUCAAUCUGCAUGACACUGACUAAUUUUGUACGUCUCUGAGCUCAUGUAUGUAUGUAAGUAUGUGUAAGAGGGAAGAUUGCACUUUCUUUCAGCUGUGUGCAGUUGCUCUGUGAUGUUCAAAAAGAUAUGGGUGCUGACUUCUUGUAGAUACUGUGGAAGAACAUUGGUUGCUGUGGUGUGAUUGGCAAGAGAUGGCUAGAGGGUGGCAAAUGUCAAAUGGCCAAAUUAGGAGAAAAUGUGGUUUAAAAAAGCAAUCAUGCAUGCCAAUCAGGGCUUAUUUUCAUGGCGUCAUAAUAGAUCAAGUAAUGUCAUUUGCUAUGUAAAUGGAAGCAGAAUUUUUGAUCAUGGGACAUUCUAUGGUUUAAUAUUCUGUCGGAGAAUAUAUCAUUCAUCCAACUUAGUUGUUUAAGCCAUUACUGUCGUAACCAUUUGUGAUUCAGCAAAACAAAAUGUCUUUUCCAAACCAAAACUUAGAAGACUGAGUGCAAAAACAAAACAAAACAAAACAAAAAAAGCCUGCAAAUUGUACUUUUUCAGUUCUAGCAGCUAGGCCAGGGGUGUGGACCCAAGGAUUUGCAUUUUCCCUCCUCUGACACACUGAAUUAAACUCAUUAAGAGCAAGAGCUGUGUCUCAAAUCAUAUAAAACAGAACUACAAACUGAGCAAUAAAAACAUAUAUAAUAUUAUACAUUGUAGAUUAUAGAUUCAGAGCAUUAGACAGUUUUUUUUUUAAUUCUUGCUCAUUACCUUAUCUUGUGUUCUUAAAUUGUUGGAAGAAAUGAAUGUUUCUUAAGUUUCUUUCUUUACUUUUGCACUUUAUCUACAAACAGCUUGUAAUGGAAGUCUUAUUCAUUCAUUCAUCAUCAG